AGCGAACGUUUGCGGCGGGCUUAACACAUGCAAGUCGAACGGGCUGUUCCUUCGGGGGCAGUCAGUGGCGCACGGGUGCGUAACACGUAGGUAAUCAACCCUCUGGUUGGGGAUAACACUUCGAAAGGAGUGCUAAUACCCGGUAUGGCGCAGCGGUCUUCGGAUCGCGGCGAGAAAGACCCGCAAGGGUUGCCAGAGGACGAGCCUGCGGCCCAUCAGCUAGUUGGCGAGGUAACGGCUCACCAAGGCGAAGACGGGUAGCUGGUCUGAGAGGAUGAUCAGCCACACUGGAACUGAGACAUGGUCCAGACUCCUACGGGAGGCAGCAGUGGGGAAUAUUGCGCAAUGGGCGAAAGCCUGACGCAGCCACGCCGCGUGAGCGAUGAAGGCCU
rnacentral:rRNA from 1 species